rnacentral:lncRNA from 1 species
GGCAAUGUUGUUUGGCACAAUUAAUGAUUUUCCGGCAUAUGGUAAUCUAUCUGGAUAUAGUAUCAAAGGGAAGUGUGCUUGCCCUAUAUGUGAAGAUAAUACAGAUUGGAUGCGAUUGGAACAUGGUAAGAAAAAUGUAUUUCUUGGGCAUCGUAGAUUCUUACCUUCAAAGCACCGUUAUCGAGGAUGGAGAAAAGCAUUUAAUGGGA